UCACAUGUUUGUUAUAUACAUGUGGUGGAUUAAUACUGUGAAGAUAAUGUUGUUGUCUAAAACUAAAUCAAAGAGACUGGACUGAAAAAAUAGCAUCUCUGUUCACAAAGUCCUAUUACUCAUAUUGUGCAAAUGCUACUGAGAAUUCAGUGACUUUAAAAAUGAGUUUGACUGGUACAUGAUACAGUUGAACCCAGAAUUAUUCAUACUCCCUGCCAGACUUACUCUAAAAUAAUCAUUUAAUUUGACCAAUUUGUUUCUUUAGCUGCAAGUAAUGUUAAUAUUCUGAAUUGUUACACAAUAUGUGGAAGGAGUUAAAGAUUAGGUGAUGGCAAAAAGACUGUCUAGCCCCAGAAACUUGGACCUCAUCACCAAACACCAACAUUUUUAUCUGACAACUGAAUAAUUUUAGGUGGAACUGUUGUUACCUAAUGCUGACUGGUUAAAGGUUAUCUUUAUAGUGGAUAGUAACAUUUAAAAACCACAAAAAGGAAGACAUAAUAGAAACAUGUUGGGAAGCUGGAGUUUUGGUUUCUGUGGGGCUGCUUUUCUUGUCUCCAGUUAUCCACUAGAUGGAGCCAGGAAGCUGUGUUGUCCAGAGGGUGGUCUCAGGUGUUCAGCCGUCACACCUGCAGCCUAUCUGUCAUCAGCCAGUGUUUAAGAGAAGCCUGUCACCAGUCCUUCGAUGACUGAGUGUUGCCGUUCAUGGUUCUCAGCGGCUGUUACCUUUGUGCCUUAUGAGUUUUAUCGUUUCACCUCCAAGAUUCUUCAUAAAGAAACCCCUGGUUCAUAAAUCCCUACGACUGGUUCUUCUGGCUGUUCAAGUCUGUGCUACAACCUGUCCGCCCUCCAAUGAAGUACAACUAACAAACCAUCAUCGCCGCCCAUUCUCUCUGGAUCUCCUGGCUUCAGUUCCAACCCCACCUGGACCCGGCACUCACCCUAGAAACCAGGUUCCAGCACCAGCAGAAUACCUCCCCCUGGUGGAUCAGUUCCAUUUCACUAAAUCCAGAUCUCCAGCCGUCCCAUACCCCGGGCAAAGAAGAUGGAUACAUUUAAACUCUUUUUACAAUAAACUUUAUUUAACUGACAUUCUCUGUAUCCUGAAGUGUAUUCUGCAUGUGGGUCAAAAGAUUGGCCUCAAAUUAUGACAAAACAUUUAGGAAGGGAGAAGCAAAUUCUAAAAACAAACAUUUCAAUCAGAAAAAUCAAUGUACAGCUUCACUGCAAAUCAAUGUUAUGUUCCUUGGGUUUUUCAGAGAGCAGGACAAAACUACAGCUCUUUAUUCAGUUCACUUUUUUGUAUAUUUCUACUUGAAAGCAAAAGUAACAUUAAAGCAGCUCUCUUCAGAUGACACUAAUUAAUACAUAUAUUUGAGCCUGUAUGCAUACAUUCAGAAUUGUACAACCAGUUCUUAGAAGUCAUUAUCUUAAAGUGCUAUAAAGUAAUUCUGCAAUGAAUAAAAAUAUUAUAAUGAAGGAUUCAAGGGUCACAGAUACUUAGAAUAAUGCAGGGCCGUGCAGAGACCUUUGGAGGGGUAGGGGCUCAAAUUUAAAAAAGGGGCACAUUGAACAAAAACUCCGUACAACAACAUAGCAACAAUCCAUAUUAAUCAAGAAUCUAAUUGGAUCCUACUGUAUCAUUGUCAUCAUGCGGGGAAAUUCAAAGCAAAUGUAGUCUAUAUUUUCCCCAACAGGUAUAAAGUUUCUGUUUCUGCUGCUGACAGUCCUGGAGGGCUGAGCUGAUCUGAGACUGUAGCUGUUAAACA